GCGUCGGUAGUGCAACGGUAGCGUACGCUCCCGGAAAGAGUGAGAUCUGGGUUCGAAUCCCGGCUGAAGUA